rnacentral:misc_RNA from 1 species
CCGAGUAUCGGUACCCUUAUGGGUACUUACUCCCACCAUUUGUGAACCUUUUUCGUUGCCUCGGCGAACCGAUGGUACCCCCAUCCUUCGGCUUAAUCGGUUGAAGAGUGUUCGCCAGAGGAUUUUCAAACCAAUCUUAACUUUGAAAUCUGAGUUUAAACAAAUAAAAACA